rnacentral:rRNA from 1 species
GGUUAAGCGACUAAGCGUACACGGUGGAUGCCCUGGCAGUCAGAGGCGAUGAAGGGCGUGCUAAUCUGCGAUAAGCGCCGGUAAGGUGAUAUGAACCGUUAUAACCGGCGAUACCCGAAUGGGGAAACCCAGUGUGAUUCGUCACACUAUCAUUAACUGAAUCCAUAGGUUAAUGAGGCGAACCGGGGGAACUGAAACAUCUAAGUACCCCGAGGAAAAGAAAUCAACCGAGAUUCCCCCAGUAGCGGCGAGCGAACGGGGAGGAGCCCAGAGCCUGAAUCAGCAUGUGUGUUAGUGGAAGCGUCUGGAAAGGCGCGCGAUACAGGGUGACAGCCCCGUACACAAAAGCGCAUGUGCUGUGAGCUCGAUGAGUAGGGCGGGACACGUGGUAUCCUGUCUGAAUAUGGGGGGACCAUCCUCCAAGGCUAAAUACUCCUGACUGACCGAUAGUGAACCAGUACCGUGAGGGAAAGGCGAAAAGAACCCCGGCGAGGGGAGUGAAAAAGAACCUGAAACCGUGUACGUACAAGCAGUGGGAGCACCCUUUUGGGUGUGACUGCGUACCUUUUGUAUAAUGGGUCAGCGACUUAUAUUCUGUAGCAAGGUUAACCGAAUAGGGGAGCCGGAGGGAAACCGAGUCUUAAUUGGGCGUUAAGUUGCAGGGUAUAGACCCGAAACCCGGUGAUCUAGCCAUGGGCAGGUUGAAGGUUGGGUAACACUAACUGGAGGACCGAACCGACUAAUGUUGAAAAAUUAGCGGAUGACCUGUGGCUGGGGGUGAAAGGCCAAUCAAACCGGGAGAUAGCUGGUUCUCCCCGAAAGCUAUUUAGGUAGCGCCUCGUGAAUUCAUCUCCGGGGGUAGAGCACUGUUUCGGCUAGGGGGCCAUCCCGGCUUACCAACCCGAUGCAAACUGCGAAUACCGGAGAAUGUUAUCACGGGAGACACACGGCGGGUGCUAACGUCCGUCGUGAAGAGGGAAACAACCCAGACCGCCAGCUAAGGUCCCAAAGUCAUGGUUAAGUGGGAAACGAUGUGGGAAGGCCCAGACAGCCAGGAUGUUGGCUUAGAAGCAGCCAUCAUUUAAAGAAAGCGUAAUAGCUCACUGGUCGAGUCGGCCUGCGCGGAAGAUGUAACGGGGCUAAACCAUGCACCGAAGCUGCGGCAGCGACACUGUGUGUUGUUGGGUAGGGGAGCGUUCUGUAAGCCUGUGAAGGUGUGUCGUGAGGCAUGCUGGAGGUAUCAGAAGUGCGAAUGCUGACAUAAGUAACGAUAAAGCGGGUGAAAAGCCCGCUCGCCGGAAGACCAAGGGUUCCUGUCCAACGUUAAUCGGGGCAGGGUGAGUCGACCCCUAAGGCGAGGCCGAAAGGCGUAGUCGAUGGGAAACGGGUUAAUAUUCCCGUACUUGGUGUUACUGCGAAGGGGGGACGGAGAAGGCUAUGUUGGCCGGGCGACGGUUGUCCCGGUUUAAGCGUGUAGGCUGGUUUUCCAGGCAAAUCCGGAAAAUCAAGGCUGAGGCGUGACGACGAGGCACUACGGUGCUGAAGCAACAAAUGCCCUGCUUCCAGGAAAAGCCUCUAAGCAUCAGGUAACAUCAAAUCGUACCCCAAACCGACACAGGUGGUCAGGUAGAGAAUACCAAGGCGCUUGAGAGAACUCGGGUGAAGGAACUAGGCAAAAUGGUGCCGUAACUUCGGGAGAAGGCACGCUGACACGUAGGUGAAGUGAUUUACUCAUGGAGCUGAAGUCAGUCGAAGAUACCAGCUGGCUGCAACUGUUUAUUAAAAACACAGCACUGUGCAAACACGAAAGUGGACGUAUACGGUGUGACGCCUGCCCGGUGCCGGAAGGUUAAUUGAUGGGGUCAGCGCAAGCGAAGCUCCUGAUCGAAGCCCCGGUAAACGGCGGCCGUAACUAUAACGGUCCUAAGGUAGCGAAAUUCCUUGUCGGGUAAGUUCCGACCUGCACGAAUGGCGUAAUGAUGGCCAGGCUGUCUCCACCCGAGACUCAGUGAAAUUGAACUCGCUGUGAAGAUGCAGUGUACCCGCGGCAAGACGGAAAGACCCCGUGAACCUUUACUAUAGCUUGACACUGAACAUUGAGCCUUGAUGUGUAGGAUAGGUGGGAGGCUUUGAAGUGUGGACGCCAGUCUGCAUGGAGCCGACCUUGAAAUACCACCCUUUAAUGUUUGAUGUUCUAACGUGGACCCGUAAUCCGGGUUGCGGACAGUGUCUGGUGGGUAGUUUGACUGGGGCGGUCUCCUCCUAAAGAGUAACGGAGGAGCACGAAGGUUGGCUAAUCCUGGUCGGACAUCAGGAGGUUAGUGCAAUGGCAUAAGCCAGCUUGACUGCGAGCGUGACGGCGCGAGCAGGUGCGAAAGCAGGUCAUAGUGAUCCGGUGGUUCUGAAUGGAAGGGCCAUCGCUCAACGGAUAAAAGGUACUCCGGGGAUAACAGGCUGAUACCGCCCAAGAGUUCAUAUCGACGGCGGUGUUUGGCACCUCGAUGUCGGCUCAUCACAUCCUGGGGCUGAAGUAGGUCCCAAGGGUAUGGCUGUUCGCCAUUUAAAGUGGUACGCGAGCUGGGUUUAGAACGUCGUGAGACAGUUCGGUCCCUAUCUGCCGUGGGCGCUGGAGAACUGAGGGGGGCUGCUCCUAGUACGAGAGGACCGGAGUGGACGCAUCACUGGUGUUCGGGUUGUCAUGCCAAUGGCACUGCCCGGUAGCUAAAUGCGGAAGAGAUAAGUGCUGAAAGCAUCUAAGCACGAAACUUGCCCCGAGAUGAGUUCUCCCUGAGACUUAAAGUCUCCUGAAGGAACGUUGAAGACGACGACGUUGAUAGGCCGGGUGUGUAAGCGCAGCGAUGCGUUGAGCUAACCGGUACUAAUGAACCGUGAGGCUUAACCUU